rnacentral:rRNA from 1 species
UACCGCCCUAGUUCUGACCGUAAACGAUGCCAACUAGCGAUCCGCCGGUGGCUCUACGGCCCUGGUGGGGAGCUUCCCGGAAACGAAAGUCUUCCGGUUCCGGGGGAAGUAUGGUUGCAAAGCUGAAACUUAAAGGAAUUGACGGAAGGGCACCACCAGGAGUGGAGCCUGCGGCUUAAUUUGACUCAACACGGGAAAACUCACCCGGCCCGGACACCGUGAGGAUUGACAGAUUGAUAGCUUUUUCAUGAUUCGGUGGUUGGUGGUGCAUGGCCGUUCUUAGUUCGUGGAUCGAUUUGUCUGGUUUAUUCCGAUAACGAGCGAGACUCCAGCCUACUAAAUAGUGCGGGCAUUGCUAUUGUGCUAUGCACUUCUUAGAGGGAUUGGCUGCGUCUAGCGGCACGAAACGGAGCAAUAACAGGUCUGUGAUGCCCUUAGAUGUCCGGGGCUGCACGCGCGCUACACUGGCAAAGGCAGCGUGCUUGUCCGUCUCCGAAAGGAGCCGGUAAACCCUUGAAAAUUUGCCGUGAUUGGGAUCGGAAAUUGCAAUUAUUUUCCGUGAACGAGGAAUUCCUAGUAAGUGCGAGUCAUCAGCUCGCGUUGAUUACGUCCCUGCCCUUUGUACACACCGCCCGUCGCUGCCUAGAACUUGAGCCAUUUCGAGAAUAUUCGGGAUCGCCGGUUGCGGGCCCUUCACGGGGCACGCCUCUGGCUGAGAACGAACGUAAUCGCAGUGGCUUGAACCGGGCAAAAGUCGUAACAAGGUAGCUGUAGGUGAACCUGCUGCUGGAUCAUUACAUUGUC